AAGAUAUUCCGGCAGGACGGGCUCUGCCCCCUCCCCUUCCCCUCCGCUUGUACCUCGGUGUGUGUCAACUGUAAAAUAUCACAGUGGGAGCUGGCUGGGGAGGACCCGCCCGCGUCCCCCCGGCCAGGCUCCCCAUACCCCGCCAGUCUAAACAACGGUUCGCCUUGCCCAAACUGUUUGGAUUAGGAGCUAUUAGUUAAAGGCUGGUUUUGGUGACGCUGCCGAGCACGAGAAGGAUUUCGUGGGAUCAACGAAGAAAUGUUUUCGCUGCCUGCGGUCGGGCUUUCGACAGUUCGGUUUGGACGCGAACAAUAACUUGAAAAA